rnacentral:rRNA from 1 species
GAUGAACGCUGGCGGCGUGCUUAACACAUGCAAGUCGAACGGAGAAAGGGUAGCUUGCUAUCUUUCUUAGUGGCGGACGGGUGAGUAACGCGUGGGUAACCUGCCCUUUGCAGGGGGAUAACAGUGAGAAAUCACUGCUAAUACCGCAUACCAACUUCUUCGCAUGAAAGAAGUUUGAAAGAUUUAUCGGCAAAGGAUGGACCCGCGUUGGAUUAGCUAGUUGGUGAGAUAACAGCCCACCAAGGCAACGAUCCAUAGACGGCCUGAGAGGGUGAACGGCCACACUGGGACUGAGACACGGCCCAGACUCCUACGGGAGGCAGCAGUGGGGAAUAUUGCACAAUGGGCGAAAGCCUGAUGCAGCGACGCCGCGUGAAGGAUGAAGGUCUUCGGAUUGUAAACUUCUAUCAGCAGGGAAGAAAGGGCCUAUGGCCUAUGACGGUACCUGACUAAGAAGCCCCGGCUAACUACGUG